rnacentral:rRNA from 1 species
UGGGGAAUAUUGGACAAUGGGCGAAAGCCUGAUCCAGCAAUGCCGCGUGAGUGAUGAAGGCCUUAGGGUUGUAAAGCUCUUUCGCACGCGACGAUGAUGACGGUAGCGUGAGAAGAAGCCCCGGCUAACUUCGUGCCAGCAGCCGCGGUAAUACGAAGGGGGCUAGCGUUGUUCGGAAUUACUGGGCGUAAAGGGCGCGUAGGCGGCUCGUCAAGUCAGGCGUGAAAUCCCCGAGCUUAACUUGGGAAUAGCGCUUGAGACUGGCGAGCUUGAGUCCCGGGAGAGGUGAGUGGAAUUCCCCAGUGUAGAGGUGAAAUUCGUGAUAUUGGGAAGAACACCAGUGGCGAAGGCGGCUCACUGGACCGGCANUGACGCUGAGGCGCGAAAGCGUGGGG